rnacentral:tRNA from 1 species
UAACCUGUGGUGUAAUGGCAGCAUUCAAGACUUUGACUCUUGAGGUAAUGGUUCAAAUCCAUUCAGGUUAUCAA